GAACGCUUGCUGCAUGCUUUAUACAUGCAAGUCGAACGGAGGCCCUAGCUUGCUAGGUGUCCUUAGUGGCGCACGGGUGAGUAACACGUGGGAACAUACCUUAUAGUACGGAAUAACUGCGGGAAACUGUAGCUAAUACCGUAUACUCCAGUAAUGGGAAAGAUUUAUCGCUAUAAGAUUGGCCCGCGCAAGAUUAGCUUGUUGGUGAGGUAAAAGCUCACCAAGGCUUCGAUCUUUAGCUGGUUUGAGAGGACGAUCAGCCACACUGGGACUGAGACACGGCCCAGACUCCUACGGGAGGCAGCAGUAGGGAAUAUUGGACAAUGGGGGCAACCCUGAUCCAGCAAUGCAGCGUGAGUGACGAAGGCCUUAGGGUUGUAAAACUCUUUCAUCGGUGAGGAUAAUGACAGUAGCCGAAGAAGAAGGACCGG
rnacentral:rRNA from 1 species